UACGGAGGGGGCGAGCGUUAUUCGGAAUUAUUGGGCGUAAAGGGCGCGUAGGCGGCUAGGUAAGUCAAAGGUGAAAUCCCUCGGCUCAACUGAGGAACUGCCUUUGAAACUGUCUAGCUCGAGGCCGGGAGGGGGUGGCGGAAUUCCCAGUGUAGCGGUGAAAUGCGCAGAUAUCAGGAGGAACACCAAUUGCGAAGGCAGCUCGCUGGGACGUUACUGACGCUGAGACGCGAAAGCGUGGGGAGCAAACAGG
rnacentral:rRNA from 1 species